rnacentral:rRNA from 1 species
AGAGUUUGAUCAUGGCUCAGGAUGAACGCUAGCGGCAGGCUUAACACAUGCAAGUCGAGGGGCAGCAUGAGACGGAGAUUCGUCGAAGUCUUGAUGGCGACCGGCGCAAGGGUGCGUAACGCGUGAGCAACUUGCCCGUUUCAGGGGGAUAACCGGUGGAAACGCCGACUAAUACCCCAUGGUAUGUUUUUGAGGCAUCUCUUAAACAUUAAAGAAUUUCGGAAACGGAUAGGCUCGCGUGACAUUAGCUAGAUGGCGGGGUAACGGCCCACCAUGGCGACGAUGUCUAGGGGUUCUGAGAGGAAGGUCCCCCACACUGGAACUGAGACACGGUCCAGACUCCUACGGGAGGCAGCAGUGAGGAAUAUUGGUCAAUGGUCGAGAGGCUGAACCAGCCAUGCCGCGUGAAGGUCACGGCCCUAUGGGUCUUAAACUUCUUUUGUAAGGGAGCGAUAAGUCUCACGUGUGGGAUGAUGAGAGUACCUUACGAAUAAGCAUCGGCUAACUCCGUGCCAGCAGCCGCGGUAAUACGGGGGAUGCAAGCGUUAUCCGGAUUUAUUGGGUUUAAAGGGUGCGUAGGCGGUCUGGUAAGUCAGCGGUGAAAUUCAGGGGCUCAACCUCUGCCGUGCCGUUGAUACUGCUGGACUAGAAUGCGGAUGCCGUGGGAGGAAUGUGUGGUGUAGCGGUGAAAUGCAUAGAUAUCGCACAGAACACCGAUUGCGAAGGCAUCUCACGAAUCCGCGAUUGACGCUGAGGCACGAAAGCGUGGGGAUCAAACAGGAUUAGAUACCCUGGUAGUCC